GCCCGGGUGGCGGAAUUGGUAGACGCGCAUGGUUCAGGUCCAUGUUCCCGCAAGGGAGUGGGGGUUCGACUCCCCCCCCGGGCACCA
rnacentral:tRNA from 1 species